AUACGUAUGGAGCGAGCGUUGUCCGGAAUUAUUGGGCGUAAAGGGUGCGCAGGCGGCUUACAAGUUGGAUGUGAAAUAUUGUGGCUCAACCACAAACGUGCAUCCAAAACUGCAAAGCUUGAGUUAAGGAGAGGUAAGUGGAAUUCCUGGUGUAGCGGUGGAAUGCGUAGAUAUCAGGAGGAAUACCGGUGGCGAAGGCGACUUACUGGACUUAAACUGACGCUCAGGCACGAAAGCGUGGGGAGCAAACAGGAUUAGAUACCCUGGUAGUCAAGGGCG
rnacentral:rRNA from 1 species